rnacentral:rRNA from 1 species
AUUGAACGCUGGCGGCAGGCCUAACACAUGCAAGUCGAACGAGUGGCGGACGGGUGAGUAAUGUCUGGGAAACUGCCUGAUGGAGGGGGAUAACUACUGGAAACGGUAGCUAAUACCGCAUACCAUCAGAUGUGCCCAGAUGGGAUUGGCUUGUUGGUGGGGUAACGGCUCACCACGGCGACGAUCCCUAGCUGGUCUGAGAGGAUGACCGGCCACACUGGAACUGAGACACGGUCCAGACUCCUAGGGGAGGAAGCAGUGGGGAAUAUUGCAAAAGGGGCGAAAGCCUGAGGCGGCCAUGCCGCGUGUAUGAAGAAGGCCUUCGGGUUGUAAAGUACUUUAAGCGGGGAGGCGUUACCCGAAGAAGAAGCAACGGCUAACUCCGUGCCAGCAGCCGCGGUAAUUC